rnacentral:lncRNA from 1 species
UGAAUGGGCAUUUGAUAUCCCAGAACACCACUGUAUAUACUAUCUAAAAAUAUAAUAUUCUCAGACUUUUAAGACAUUAUAAAAGUUGAUGACUGAAGACCGUACUUUUAUGGUUUCAUUGUAGACAAAACUGAGAAAGACUGAGUGGCAGCCUAAGAGAGGAAGCAACAAGGUUGCAACACUCACUGCAGUGCAGUCUGGCUCAAAGUGUGACAACAGAAAUGUUCUUUCAUGUGCAAC